rnacentral:rRNA from 1 species
CCCCUCGGGAUGAACUAGCAUGCGAGUCAUUGUAGUAAUACAAGGCAGACGGCUCAGUAACGCGUAGUCAAUCUACCCUAUGGACGAGGAUAACCUCGGGAAACUGAGAAUAAUACUCGAUAGAACACUAUGCCUGGAAUGGUUUGUGUUUGAAAUGAUUUAUCGCCGUAGGAUGGGACUGCGGCCUAUCAGUUUGUUGGUGAGGUAAUGGCCCACCAAGACUAUUACAGGUACGGGUUCUGAGAGGAGUGGCCCGGAGAUGGGUACUGAGACACGGACCCAGGCCCUAUGGGGCGCAGCAGGCGAGAAAACUUUGCAAUGUGCGAAAGCACGACAAGGUUAAUCCGAGUGGUUUCUGCUAAAGAAACCUUUUGUUAGUCCUAGAAACACUGAUGAAUAAGGGGUGGGCAAGUUCUGGUGUCAGCCGCCGCGGUAAAACCAGCACCUCAAGUGGUCAGGAUGAUUAUUGGGCCUAAAGCAUCCGUAGCCGGCUAUGUAAGUUUUCGGUUAAAUCUGUGCGCUUAACGUACAGGCUGCCGGGAAUACUGCAUAGCUAGGAAGUGGGAGAGGUAGACGGUACUCGGUAGGAAGGGGUAAAAUCCUUUGAUCUAUUGAUGACCACCUGUGGCGAAGGCGGUCUACCAGAACACGUUCGACGGUGAGGGAUGAAAGCUGGGGGAGCAAACCGGAUUAGAUACCCGGGUAGUCCCAGCUGUAAACUAUGCAAACUCAAUGAUGCAUUGGCUUGUGGCCAAUGCAGUGUUGCAGGGAAGCCGUUAAGUUUGCCGCCUGGGAAGUACGUAUGCAAGUAUGAAACUUAAAGGAAUUGGCGGGGGAGCACCACAAGGGGUGAAGCCUGCGGUUCAAUUGGAGUCAACGCCGGG